rnacentral:rRNA from 1 species
AGAUUGAACGCUGGCGGCAGGCUUAACACAUGCAAGUCGAGCGGAGAGAGGUAGCUUGCUACUGAUCUUAGCGGCGGACGGGUGAGUAAUGCUUAGGAAUCUGCCUAUUAGUGGGGGACAACAUUUCGAAAGGAAUGCUAAUACCGCAUACGUCCUACGGGAGAAAGCAGGGGAUCUUCGGACCUUGCGCUAAUAGAUGAGCCUAAGUCGGAUUAGCUAGUUGGUGGGGUAAAGGCCUACCAAGGCGACGAUCUGUAGCGGGUCUGAGAGGAUGAUCCGCCACACUGGGACUGAGACACGGCCCAGACUCCUACGGGAGGCAGCAGUGGGGAAUAUUGGACAAUGGGCGCAAGCCUGAUCCAGCCAUGCCGCGUGUGUGAAGAAGGCCUUAUGGUUGUAAAGCACUUUAAGCGAGGAGGAGGCUACUUUAGUUAAUACCUAGAGAUAGUGGACGUUACUCGCAGAAUAAGCACCGGCUAACUCUGUGCCAGCAGCCGCGGUAAUACAGAGGGUGCAAGCGUUAAUCGGAUUUACUGGGCGUAAAGCGCGCGUAGGCGGCUAAUUAAGUCAAAUGUGAAAUCCCCGAGCUUAACUUGGGAAUUGCAUUCGAUACUGGUUAGCUAGAGUGUGGGAGAGGAUGGUAGAAUUCCAGGUGUAGCGGUGAAAUGCGUAGAGAUCUGGAGGAAUACCGAUGGCGAAGGCAGCCAUCUGGCCUAACACUGACGCUGAGGUGCGAAAGCAUGGGGAGCAAACAGGAUUAGAUACCCUGGUAGUCCAUGCCGUAAACGAUGUCUACUAGCCGUUGGGGCCUUUGAGGCUUUAGUGGCGCAGCUAA